CUCCUUAUACAAUCAGAGGAGGAGCAUCAGCUGCUCUUCGUUCAGAUGGAAGGGUUACAGACUGGUCACAGGCUUUGAGAAGAAUUUACUUCCUAGCUGUUCGGCUAGCAAUUCACUUUUAUCCUCAAUGACCUGAUAAAUCCUGGCUGGAAGUGAACUAGAAUGCAAACAGUAGAAAACCUACAUAUAAAACAAGAACAAACAGAAAAGAUAGCCAUGGAAUGGAUUGGCAGUUUACCUCAGACUCUGCAGAACAAAAUGCUACCAAACGUUACAAAAGAAAACAACAAGAAGAAUAUCUCAUGCUGAGCUCUUACUGCCUGGAGGAACAAAACAGAACCACAACAUGCUCAGUACAAUGAAAGCCACUGGGUAUGAGCUCCAGGACUGACAGAAAUGAUGCUGUAACCUAAGUUCUACUUAAAACAAUAAACUCAGAAUUUUACCCUUACUUUUCCCCUAG
rnacentral:lncRNA from 1 species